rnacentral:rRNA from 1 species
CCCCUAAAGGGCCGUGGGAGACGACCACGUGGAUAGGCGGCAGGUGCAGGACGCGCGAGCGUCAAAGCCGAGCCGUACUAAGGGCCCGUGUGGCUUGGCCGGUCC